UAAGGAAUAUUGGUCAAUGGACGCAAGUCUGAACCAGCCAUGCCGCGUGAAGGAUGAAGGUCCUCUGGAUUGUAAACUUCUUUUAUCUGGGACGAAAACGGGAUUUUUAUCUCAAUUGACGGUACCAGAGGAAUAAGCACCGGCUAACUCCGUGCCAGCAGCCGCGGUAAUACGGAGGGUGCGAGCGUUAUCCGGCUUUACUGGGUUUAAAGGGUGCGUAGGUGGGCUUAUAAGUCAGUGGUGAAAUCUCCGAGCUUAACUUGGAAACUGCCGUUGAUACUAUAGGUCUUGAAUUAUCUGGAGGCAAGCGGAAUAUGUCAUGUAGCGGUGAAAUGCUUAGAUAUGACAUAGAACACCAAUUGCGAAGGCAGCUUACUACAUAUAAAUUGACGCUGAGGCACGAAAGCGUGGGGAUCAAACA
rnacentral:rRNA from 1 species